rnacentral:rRNA from 1 species
AGAGGACCGGGAUGGACAUACCUCUGGUGUACCAGUUGUCGUGCCAACGGCAUAGCUGGGUAGCUAUGUGUGGACGGGAUAAGUGCUGAAAGCAUCUAAGCAUGAAGCCCCCCUCAAGAUGAGAUUUCCCAACUUCGGUUAUAAGAUCCCUCAAAGAUGAUGAGGUUAAUAGGUUCGAGGUGGAAGCAUGGUGACAUGUGGAGCUGACGAAUACUAAUCGAUCGAAGACUUAAUCAAAUU